CUUUCUGCUUUGAGUGUCAAUAGUGCCAUGGUGGCAAAUACAGAGGAUACGUGAGAGCACGGCAGAAUGGAGAAGCCUCCUUCAGCAGACAGAGGAACUACACAGGCAGGAAUAGGGGUAACACACAUACGCUCCUAGGAGACAUACAAAGCGGAGUGUGAGAUAUCAGAAAGGUGUUGCACGGUACCUUUGGCCUACUUUUAUAUGAGAGAACAUUCAUAGGGAGGUGUCACCAGACACAUUGGCUAAAGAUCUGAUUUGUGAAAGGGAUACACCAACAAGACAUGGCUGACCAAGACCGGAUGGAGAACACACAUUACACCUGUUUUAAGGUCUCUGCACCGGCUGACUCCUUGGACCAAGAGAUUAUGCCCCCAGCAUCUGGAAUAGCCUGCCAAAGAACCUGAGGGGGGCCGAAACUGUGGCCAAAUAUUUAAAAAAAGAUACUAAAACAUAUUUUUACUAAAACAUACUUUUCUACUAAAAGUAUGUAAAACAUACUUUUCCUUUGGCUGCUGUUUGUCAUUCUUUCAUUUUUUUAUCUUGUGUUUGUUGUGUCGUAAAUAUUUCAGCUUUUAUUUUCCUUGUUUUUUUGUGGUUUUUUCCCCCCCUGUAAAGCACAUUGCAUUGCAUCCCAUGUCUUAAAUGUGCUGUAUAAAUCAAUCUGGAUUUGA